CAGAAUGCCAGAAUAUUGGGACAUUGGCUGCAUUACUUAUAGUUACAAAUUUAUUGAGUUGGGGGCUCUGAUGUGUCAGGCUCCUGUCUCUGUGAAUGUGACUCACUGUCCUAUCCCUUGUAGAGUUUCCUACUGGGGCUCCACUGGGCCACAAGAGCAAGCCUCAUUCAACCAAAACAGGCUGCCAUUCACGACCCCACAAUUAUCCCAAGAUUUGAGGAUUCAAAGGUCUUCUGAUAUAGUCUUUAAUUAAGGUUAAAUGGAUAAACCCUUCUGAAGACUGAAAACUUCUCAUGCUACAAGCCAUCUAAAGUGUUGCCUGGAAGAAAAUUACUAUACAUGUUUUGUUCCUCGGUCCUCCUCGAUCCACGGAAUAACUAAGUCCUGCUGGAUGGGACAGUAAAACCUCAGGUUCAGAGCCUGGUAAGCUAAGGAAGAACAAGUUGCCUGCAAUCCUGACACAGCAGAGCUGACCAAGCCUGUUGAAUUGGACAGGGUGGCAAAACCUGAGUGAAAGGGGAGAGCAUCAGAUCGCUCAUUGAAAUUAAAGAUCACUGAUACACGAGUACUCAACAGGACCCAUGGAAGAUUUGGAAGCAUAUGACCUACAGUUUUUCAAGAAUAAUCAAAGUCAAUCACUUUCUACAAUUCUUCCAAAAAGUUAAAGAAAUAAAAUAAUAUCAUUUCCAAAUUCAAG
rnacentral:lncRNA from 1 species